CCUACGGGCGGCAGCAGUGAGGAAUAUUGGUCAAUGGACGAGAGUCUGAACCAGCCAAGUAGCGUGAAGGAUGACUGCCCUAUGGGUUGUAAACUUCUUUUAUAUGGGAAUAAAAUGUUCCACGUGUGGGAUUUUGUAUGUACCAUAUGAAUAAGGAUCGGCUAACUCCGGGCCAGCAGCCGCGGUAAUACGGAGGAUCCGACCGUUAUCCGGAUUUAUUGGGUUUAAAGGGAGCGUAGGUGGAUUGUUAAGUCAGUUGUGAAAGUUUGGGGCUCAACCGUAAAAUUGCAGUUGAAACUGGCAGUCUUGAGUACAGGAGAGGUGGGCGGAAUUCGUGGUGUAGCGGUGAAAUGCUUAGAUAUCACGAAGAACUCCGAUUGCGAAGGCAGUUCACUGGACUGCAACUGACACUGAGGCUCGAAAGUGUGGGUAUCAAACAGGAUUAGAUACCCGUGUAGUC
rnacentral:rRNA from 1 species